ACGCUGGCGGCGUGGAUAAGACAUGCAAGUCGAACGCUGAUUGCGGAGUAGCAAUAUUCUGCAAUCGGAGUGGCGCACUGGUGCGUAACACGUGGGUAAUUUGCCGCGAAGUUCGGGACAACUCCGAGAAAUCGGAGCUAAUACCGGAUGUGAUUGCCUGGGGGCAUCCCUGGGCGGUUAAAGUUGGGGACCGCAAGGCCUGACGCUUCACGAUAAGCCCGCGGCCUAUCAGCUAGUUGGUGAGGUAACGGCCCACCAAGGCUAAGACGGGUAGCUGGUCUGAGAGGACGACCAGCCACACUGGAACUGAGACACGGUCCAGACACCUACGGGUGGCAGCAGUCGAGUAAUUUUUCACAAUGGGCGAAAGCCUGAUGGAGCGACGCCGCGUGGGGGAUGAAUGGCUUCGGCCCGUAAACCCCUGUCAUUCGCGAGCAAUGCCUUCCCGAUAAUACCGGGACGGUUGAUCGUAGCGAAAGAGGAAGGGACGGCUAACUCUGUG
rnacentral:rRNA from 1 species